GAUGAACGCUGGCGGCGUGCCUAAUACAUGCAAGUCGAGCGAACAGACGAGGAGCUUGCUCCUCUGACGUUAGCGGCGGACGGGUGAGUAACACGUGGAUAACCUACCUAUAAGACUGGGAUAACUUCGGGAAACCGGAGCUAAUACCGGAUAAUAUAUUGAACCGCAUGGUUCAAUAGUGAAAGACGGUUUUGCUGUCACUUAUAGAUGGAUCCGCGCCGCAUUAGCUAGUUGGUAAGGUAACGGCUUACCAAGGCAACGAUGCGUAGCCGACCUGAGAGGGUGACCGGCCACACUGGAACUGAGACACGGUCCAGACUCCUACGGGAGGCAGCAGUAGGGAAUCUUCCGCAAUGGGCGAAAGCCUGACGGAGCAACCCCUCGUCAGUGAUGACGGUCUUCCGAUCGUAAAACUCUGUUAUUCGCGAAGAACAAAUGUGUAAGUAACUAUGCACGUCUUGACGGUACCUAAUCAGAAAGCCACGGCUAACUACGUG
rnacentral:rRNA from 1 species